rnacentral:rRNA from 1 species
UACAGAGGUCCCGAGCGUUGUUCGGAUUCAUUGGGCGUAAAGCGCGCGCAGGCGGUCCUUUAAGUCUGAUGUGAAAGCCCACGGCUCAACCGUGGAGGGUCAUUGGAAACUGGAGGACUUGAGUACAGAAGAGGAAAGCGGAAUUCCACGUGUAGCGGUGAAAUGCGUAGAGAUGUGGAGGAACACCAGUGGCGAAGGCGGCUUUCUGGUCUGUAACUGACGCUGAGGCGCGAAAGCGUGGGGAGCAAACAGG